rnacentral:rRNA from 1 species
CACUCCUACGGGAGGCAGCAGUGGGGAAUUUUGGACAAUGGGCGAAAGCCUGAUCCAGCAAUGCCGCGUGCAGGAUGAAGGCCUUCGGGUUGUAAACUGCUUUUGUACGGAACGAAAAAGCUCCUUCUAAUACAGGGGGCCCAUGACGGUACCGUAAGAAUAAGCACCGGCUAACUACGUGCCAGCAGCCGCGGUAAUACGUAGGGUGCGAGCGUUAAUCGGAAUUACUGGGCGUAAAGCGUGCGCAGGCGGUUAUGUAAGACAGAUGUGAAAUCCCCGGGCUCAACCUGGGAACUGCAUUUGUGACUGCAUGGCUAGAGUACGGUAGAGGGGGAUGGAAUUCCGCGUGUAGCAGUGAAAUGCGUAGAUAUGCGGAGGAACACCGAUGGCGAAGGCAAUCCCCUGGACCUGUACUGACGCUCAUGCACGAAAGCGUGGGGAGCAAACAGGAUUAGAAACCCCUGUAGUCCCAUGAU